AUUGAACGCUGGCGGCAUGCCUUACACAUGCAAGUCGAACGGCAGCACGGGUGCUUGCACCUGGUGGCGAGUGGCGCACGGGUGAGUAAUACAUCGGAACAUGUCCUGUAGUGGGGGAUAGUCCGGCGAAGGCCGGAUUAAUACCGCAUACGAUCUACGGAUGAAAGCGGGGGACCUUCGGGCCUCGCGCUAUAGGGUUGGCCGAUGGCUGAUUAGCUAGUUGGUGGGGUAAAGGCCUACCAAGGCGACGAGCAGUAGCUGGUCUGAGAGGACGACCAGCCACACUGGGACUGAGACACGGCCCAGACUCCUACGGGAGGCAGCAGUGGGGAAUUUUGGACAAUGGGCGAAAGCCUGAUCCAGCAAUGCCGCGUGUGUGAAGAAGGCCUUCGGGUUGUAAAGCACUUUUGUCCGGAAAGAAAUCCUUGGCCCUAAUACGGUCGGGGGAUGACGGUACCGGAAGAAUAAGCACCGGCUAACUACGUG
rnacentral:rRNA from 1 species